rnacentral:lncRNA from 1 species
UUGAUAGUAUGCAGAACUUAAAAGUAGAUAGUACGCUAAGAAAAACCAAUGAAGAUAGUAUGCAGAAUUAAAAAAUAAAGAAACAUGCUAAUAAAAACCAUUGAGCAGAAUCAUCAGAGAAUAGAAAUCAAUGAGCAGAAAAUGAAGAUGACAUAUACUGGCAGUAGUUUCUAUAGAUCACAGCAGAUGUUAUUAAUGGACACAGAAAAUGUGCAGAUAUUACACAUGCAUACCACUUGAGAGAUAUUUCCGUUUCCCUACUCAAGGUCCCUUGUCGAGAAGCACUAGCAAUCCUUACAGUUUGGGUGACUUUCCGCAAAUAUGCCUGUUUCCUUUUCCAAAAAAAAAAGGAGACAAAAUCAACUUGAAUUUAGACAUGAACGAGAGAGAANCCGUUUCCCUACACAAGGUCCCUUGUCUAGAAGCACUAGCAAUCCUUACAGUUUGGGUGACUUUCCGCAAAUAUGCCUGUUUCCUUUUCCAAAAAAAAAAGGAGACAAAAUCAACUUGAAUUUAGACAUGAACGAGAGAGAAGCUUCCGUCAAUUGCUGACUUCCUCACCUCCACUCUUUCAGGUGGCAUUACAAAGUUGAGCUAUCUGCUAUCUUCUUAGUUAAAACCAGCGGUGCCCUAUCCAUCCGCAUAAAUAUGAGUGCCUGGCUCAUAGCAUCUCUGUAAUCCACUUACCUACACAAAACCUUUGUCUAGAAGCAAUAGAAAAACCCAAAGUUUUGGUGACUUUCCACAAAUAUGCCGCCUUUUUUUUCCCACAAGAAAAAUGACGAAAUCCACUUGAAUAUAGAAACGAACGAGAUAGAAGCUUCCAUCAAAUGCUAACUUUCUCAACUCCACUUUUUCAGGUGACAUUACAAAGUUGAGUUAUCAGCUAUCUUCUUGAUUAAAACAAGCGGUGCCCUAUCCGUCCGCAUAAAUAUGAGUGCCUGGCUCAUAGCAUCUCUGCUGGCUUUCUGUGCAUCAAGACUCAAGUAAAGCUUUUUAAAAUCAGGGUCCACCGCAUCUGCUGUAUGCAGUGACUCCCUUGAUGUAGUUGUAUAGUCGUAAAAUAGUCCAAUAAAGCCUUUGGAUCAGUAACGUCUAUGGAGGACACCACAUUAUGAACUGGAUCCAUGGUGUAUACUUUACCACUCAUGUCAAUCUCCAAAUUUUGAUGCAUUGUCCACCUAUUUAAAUUAGAGAAUUCCUCUAAAUAUGAGGAUU